rnacentral:rRNA from 1 species
AGUGAACGCUGGCGGCGUGCCUAAUACAUGCAAGUCGAACGAUGAAGCUUCUAGCUUGCUAGAAUGCUGAUUAGUGGCGCACGGGUGAGUAACGCAUAGGUCAUGUGCCUCUUAGUUUGGGAUAGCCAUUGGAAACGAUGAUUAAUACCAGAUACUCCCUACGGGGAAAGAUUUAUCGCUAAGAGAUCAGCCUAUGUCCUAUCAGCUUGUUGGUAAGGUAAUGGCUUACCAAGGCUAUGACGGGUAUCCGGCCUGAGAGGGUGAACGGACACACUGGAACUGAGACACGGUCCAGACUCCUACGGGAGGCAGCAGUAGGGAAUAUUGCUCAAUGGGGGAAACCCUGAAGCAGCAACGCCGCGUGGAGGAUGAAGGUUUUAGGAUUGUAAACUCCUUUUGUUAGAGAAGAUAAUGACGGUAUCUAACGAAUAAGCACCGGCUAACUCCGUGCCAGCAGCCGCGGUAAUACGGAGGGUGCAAGCGUUACUCGGAAUCACUGGGCGUAAAGAGCGCGUAGGCGGGAUAGUCAGUCAGGUGUGAAAUCCUAUGGCUUAACCAUAGAACUGCAUUUGAAACUACUAUUCUAGAGUGUGGGAGAGGUAGGUGGAAUUCUUGGUGUAGGGGUAAAAUCCGUAGAGAUCAAGAGGAAUACUCAUUGCGAAGGCGACCUGCUGGAACAUUACUGACGCUGAUUGUGCGAAAGCGUGGGGAGCAAACAGGAUUAGAUACCCUGGUAGUCCACGCCCUAAACGAUGGAUGCUAGUUGUUGGAGGGCUUAGUCUCUCCAGUAAUGCAGCUAACGCAUUAAGCAUCCCGCCUGGGGAGUACGGUCGCAAGAUUAAAACUCAAAGGAAUAGACGGGGACCCGCACAAGCGGUGGAGCAUGUGGUUUAAUUCGAAGAUACACGAAGAACCUUACCUAGGCUUGACAUUGAGAGAAUCCGCUAGAAAUAGUGGAGUGUCUGGCUUGCCAGACCUUGAAAACAGGUGCUGCACGGCUGUCGUCAGCUCGUGUCGUGAGAUGUUGGGUUAAGUCCCGCAACGAGCGCAACCCCCUUUCUUAGUUGCUAACAGGUCAUGCUGAGAACUCUAAGGAUACUGCCUCCGUAAGGAGGAGGAAGGUGGGGACGACGUCAAGUCAUCAUGGCCCUUACGCCUAGGGCUACACACGUGCUACAAUGGGGUGCACAAAGAGAAGCAAUACUGCGAAGUGGAGCCAAUCUUCAAAACACCUCUCAGUUCGGAUUGUAGGCUGCAACUCGCCUGCAUGAAGCUGGAAUCGCUAGUAAUCGCAAAUCAGCCAUGUUGCGGUGAAUACGUUCCCGGGUCUUGUACUCACCGCCCGUCACACCAUGGGAGUUGUGUUUGCCUUAAGUCAGGAUGCUAAAUUGGCUACUGCCCACGGCACACACAGCGACUGGGGUGAAGUCGUAACAAGGUAACCGUAG